AAAUAAAAGUCCCCAAAAAACCACCAGAAAAGCCACCACCAGUUGAGCUUUUUCUGUUUUUGUCUUUUUUCUUUCCCUUUUUCUUUCCCUUCUUCGUUCC
rnacentral:ribozyme from 13 species